GGUGCAGUGGCUAAAGCGCUUGGCUACUAACCAUAAGAAUGGUGGUUUGAACCCACUCAGCCCCU
rnacentral:tRNA from 1 species